GGAAGUCAAUUAAACCUUCUAAUACCAUAAUUCCUACAAAUCCAUAUACAUUCAAACCAUGCUUCAAUAACUUCAUAUCCCCAAACUACCGGAUUGGAACAAGUGUUAAAGUUUACAUAUCAAGUUUAAUCUAGUAACAUUGUAUCUAAUAAUACAAAGUGAGCAGAUCAUACAUGAGGAAGAACAAACUUAUAAUACAUAUUUGGAUGAAUUCAAACUACAAAAAGAUGAAACUAAUCAAAUGUAUAAGCCCAAAGCUUCCAACUCAAACAACAACAACAAAUCUUUCAUUUCACCAUGCCAAAUGAGGUUCAGUAGAUACCUGGUUACAACAAAUAAACAAGGAAAAUUCUAAGGUUAAGAAGGAGCAACAACAAUAAACAACAAUGUAACAGUGCAGAAAAUCAGCAGCUCAACAAAACUUUAAACCCCAAACUCAAAUAUUUUUCUCAACCAGCAAUAAAAUCAUAACCACAGCUUCUUCAAUCCAGUAGAGAAAACCAAUGGAUAACAGACUUUAGAGUCUCAGAACACUUUCAUCAACAUUAUGAAAUUCCAAAGCAAAAUUAAACCAAUUUGAAACAAAGAAAUGCAAGAAUUUUAGUGUCUUCUUCAAAGUUUUCCAAAAACUAGCCGUUUCCCUUUUUUAGUCUUCUUAGUCUCUAAAAUCUCACUUGUGAAUAAGAAAGAAUGCCUUUAUAGGCAAGCCUUAGGGCAGCAAUAUUGAAAUCAGUUUUUGCACUUUUAUCCUUUUGAAAUUUUUAUUUUUGCUGUUUAAUCCUUAGUUUAAAAAUUAGGUUUUUACAUAAGUCUCAAUCCCCACCUUCUAGGCAGCUUCCAAUUCAGUUACAAGAGAUUCUUUCACCUAGAAUUCCUAGAUUACCCCUUAAAGCCCUGCUAUUUACUUCAGAAAUCUCAUGGGUCAAAUUGACCCAAUAACCUAAACCAACCCCUUGAAGUGGGGUCUAAAAUGGCUUCAAAGCCCAAACAACAAAAUGAACCAAACCAAAUUAGUAAUCUAUGACAAACAGAAGAAAACACUUAAAUGAUUUCAAAAACUUAAACCUAAACUAAUUGACUGGUUAAUUAACACAAAUAGGCAGGGAAUUAACUAAGUUAUUAAAUCAAUAUGACCUAAUUAAACUAUGUGACUAAAACAAAGGCGAAAUCAGAAGUUAAAACAUGCCAUUAACAAAAACUAAACAGACCAAGAAAAUCAGAGAACAAGCUUUUAAUAUUUGAAAAAGAAAUCUGAACACAAAAUUAAUCUAAGGGGAACUUAGGUUCAGGACCUUGCUCAAACUUCAUUCAAAGUAAUAAGAGAACUAAUUAGAGAAAGGGAGAGGAAAAGAAAAGGAAUAAGAUGGUGAAACAAAAGAAGGGACAAAGAAAUGAAGGAAACUUACCAAAUCAAAAAUCAACACCCACUGGAGAUAAUGAUUUGACGAAACUAAUGUUAAUCAUUUGUCCUUCAUUAAGAACAACUGAACAACAUCAGUUUGCAUCGAAUCAACACUUCAAAACUCGAAAAAUAGAGGCCUAUGGUCAUGCAUGCCACCGGGUUCAGCAGAAAUUGACUUUGAACUUUUAAGAUUCGAACUUAGAUUUAAGAUUCGAGAGGUUUUGGCAAGAUUCGAAGGAAAAAGAGUGAGGAUUCGGAAUGGGGAGGUGAAUGGGAGUCUGUGGUGUAGAUUUGGGGGUGAUUGGAGGGUGGCGUCGCCGGCUUGAUGCGGUGGAAAAUUGGUGUCACGACCCCAAGCCGGACCCGAUCGUGAUGACACCUCUCGUGAAGACAAGGCCAGCCGACACAAUUACCAAAUUCAUUUUUAACAAUUUAAUAAGUCAAUUUGAGUCAUUUAUAAGAAUAAAUCCCCAACAAGUAUAAAUUUAGCGAAAUAGAACAAGUGCGAGAAUAGAUACAGCCCGAUAUAGGGGUGUCACAAGUCACGAACAUCUACUAAGAUUUGAAUACAAUGAAGAGUCUGAAAAUAAACUAAAAACAAUCUAGGGAAGACAAGAGAGAGAAGAGCAGGGUUGCGAACAUCGGGCAUCUACCUUGCUAACUCCGAUGACUCUGCCAUUGAGCAAUCAACACCCGUUACCGGAUUUAGAAAUACCUGAAUCUACACACAAGGUGCAUGGAGUAAUGUGAGUACGCCAACUCAAUAAGUAAUAAAAGUAAAUGAAAGCUGAGCAGUAAGAAACCAUAUAAUUUCACGUCAUAGCACUACAACAAAUACCGUAUAUUUCUCAAAAAUAGUACAGAAACCAUUUACUUCAUAAAUCAAGCUCAGUUUCAGUAAAACCUUUUAAAACAACUUUUAAUAGUUUCAAAUGAGUGAUAAACAGUGAGUAAAAAUGAUAGAAAUGUAAACAACCCCUCGGGUAAAACAUGUACCAUAAACCGCCCCUCAGUCAUAAUAUCAACAGAACCAGGCCCUUAAGCUACCUCACAAUCACACGUAAUCAGACCCUCGGGCAUAACAUGAAUCAAGAACCGCCCCUCGGGCAAAACAUGGAUUAAGAACAGCCCUUCGGGCAACAAUAUGAAACAACAACAGCCCCUCGGGCUACAUCAUAUCACUCACACUAGGUACCCGCGCUCACUAAGGGUGUACAGACUCCUAGAGGGUCCCCUUACGGCCCAAGCGCAAUAACAAGCCAUCUCAUGGCAUAAUCAAAUAAGUUCUCGGCCUCAUAUCAACAAGCCACCUCAUGGCAUAACAAAUCAGGCCCUCGACCUCAAAAGCAUGAAUCAGUAUAACACUGUUGCGGCGCGCAGUCCGAUCCUAUAGUAUCCUCACAACACAAGCCCUCGACCUCACUCAGUCAGAAAUCUCUCAUGCCACUCGGGCAAUUGUAAAACAUGAUGCUCAUCCCAAAAUAUUAUUUAAAAUAUCAAAACGAAUUAAAUAUGGCUGAGUUAUGAAAAUAGUAGAAUACAGUGAGGAAUAGUCGUAAAAAUCCCCUAAGGGUCCAAAAUAGUUGGCACUAGUCACAAAUAUAGCAUUCAGCCCAAAACAUGAUAAUACUUUCCAAAACACAAUGAUAUCAAACAAUUUUCAAUCAAAUACGCGGUUUAACAGUCAUACGGGACGGACUAAGUCACAAUCCCCAAUGAUGCACGACCCCACGCUCAUCAUCUAGCAUGUGUGUCACCUCAAAGUAGCACAACGAUGUGAAAUCCGGGUUUUCAUACCCUCAAGACAACAUUUACAAUCAUUACUUACCUCGAACUAGCCCGAAAAGCUACUCUGCAACACACUUGCCUAUCGACCCAACUUCCGAGUGCUCCAAAUCUA
rnacentral:lncRNA from 1 species